GAUGAACGCUGGCGGCGUGCUUAACACAUGCAAGUCGAACGGUGAAGGCGGAGCUUGCUCUGCUGGAUCAGUGGCGAACGGGUGAGUAACACGUGAGCAAUCUGCCCCUGACUCUGGGAUAAGCGCUGGAAACGGCGUCUAAUACUGGAUACGAGCUGCGAAGGCAUCUUCAGCAGCUGGAAAGAACUUCGGUCAGGGAUGAGCUCGCGGCCUAUCAGCUUGUUGGUGAGGUAACGGCUCACCAAGGCGUCGACGGGUAGCCGGCCUGAGAGGGUGACCGGCCACACUGGGACUGAGAAACGGCCCAGACUCCUACGGGAGGCAGCAGUGGGGAAUAUUGCACAAUGGGCGAAAGCCUGAUGCAGCAACGCCGCGUGAGGGACGACGGCCUUCGGGUUGUAAACCGCUUUUAGCAGGGAAGAAGCGAAAGUGACGGUAACUGGAGAAAAAGCGCCGGCUAACUACGUG
rnacentral:rRNA from 1 species